AUGGAUUCCAGCGGGGAGGAGCUCCUGAAGAAGAUCCGGCAGCUGGAGGUGGGCCAGGCGCAGCUCAAGCAGGAGAUGUCCAAGUUCGCGCUGCCGCCGACCGGCGGCGGAGGGGAGCGCCGGCGCUCGCAGUCCGUCUCGCCCAGCCGCGGCGCGCCGCCUCAUCCUGCGCCGGCGCCGGCGCCCUCGAGGCGGCUCUCCGGGGGGCUUGAUGGAGGCCAGCGGGGGUGGGGCCGUGGCUCCGCGUCCUUCUCGCACUCGUCGCCGCUGCAGCGGGAAGGCCGUGCGGCGGCGGAAGGCGGCGCCACGGGCGCUGGGCUGGCGGAGCGGCAGUACCGCAGGGUGCUCCAGUCGCUGGGGCAGUCCGUCCACAUUCUUGACCUCGAUGGAAGGAUCAUAUACUGGAAUCGGUCUGCAGAGAAUCUCUAUGGUUAUCCUGCAUCAGAAGUACUUGGUCAGGAUGCACUCAUGCUGCUGGUUGAUUCCCGUGACCUCAGUGUGGUAAAUGAUAUGUUUCGACGUAUUUCUUUGGGUGAGAGUUGGACUGGGAAGUUUCCAGUUAAGAACAAGGCAGGGGAUAGGUUUUUAGCUGUUGGCACCAACACUCCAUUUUAUGAUGAGGAUGGCAGUUUGGUGGGCAUUAUUUGUGUUUCAAGUGAUUCACGCGCAUUGGAGGAGAUACUCAGUGGACCUUCAACCUCUGCAAGGUCCCAUUCAGAAUCAUCUAGCCCCUCCUGUUGUGAUGGCAGUUGCAGCAACAGUAAUCGAAAAACCAGUUUGUUGAACAGAAAUCCGUUUGAUCCCCAGCAGUCUACUAUAGCCUCCAAGAUAACAAAUUUGGCUAACAAGGUUACAAAUAAAGUUCGUUCGAGGGUCAAGAUGGAUGAGAAUGGCAUGGUACGGGAAGGUGGCAGUGGUGAGAGUCAGUGCUCUGAUCGUGAUAACAAGGAAGGUCCAUCUAGUGGACCAAGUACACCAAGAGGAGAUGCACCACAUGGUGCCUUCGGCACGGAAGAGAAUUCCCCUGGGAAAUCAACCAAAACAAACGGUGAUGAAUCAGAAGCGAAAAUAGGUCUCCACAAGAUGUUGAGUUCAAAAGCAGAGGCAUUGUUGAACAAGAAAGGGAUAACAUGGCCUUGGAAAGGGCGGGAGAAUGAUGUGCCUGAUUGCAGAAAUCAGGUGACCUUGCCAUCAUUGCAUAGUGAGCAAGAGAAUGGCCAGAAUCAUCCGAAAGUCUCUGACACUCAAUUGGCUGAAUAUAACCAACCUAACAAAAAUGAGGCAUCAGGUUCCUGGUCUUCUUUCAACAACAACAGCUCAAGUAGUGCAAGCAGCACUGGAAGUACCAAUAGUAGUGCUCUAUACAAAAUCGACCAUGAAGCAGACUGUCUGGAUUAUGAAAUCCUGUGGGAAGAUCUUGUAAUUGGAGAACAAGUAGGCCAAGGCUCCUGUGGGACAGUAUACCAUGCUUUGUGGUAUGGCUCGGAUGUGGGUGUGAAAGUUUUCUCCAGGCAGGAAUAUUCGGAGGAAGUGAUACAGGCCUUUCGACAAGAGGUAUCCCUUAUGAAGAAAUUACGCCAUCCUAAUAUACUGCUCUUCAUGGGUGCGGUUACAUCUCCACACCGCCUUUGUAUUGUUACCGAGUUCCUCCCACGUGGAAGUUUAUUUCGCUUACUUCAAAGAAGCACUACCAAGUUGGAUUGGAGACGACGUGUUCACAUGGCUUUAGAUGUUGCAAGGGGCAUGAAUUAUCUUCAUCACUAUAGCCCACCUAUCAUUCAUCGAGAUUUAAAGUCGUCAAAUCUGCUGGUGGAUAAGAACUGGACUGUUAAGGUUGCAGAUUUUGGUCUUUCACGUCUCAAGCGUGAAACUUAUCUGACAACAAAAACAGGAAAAGGAACGCCACAAUGGAUGGCUCCGGAGGUAUUGCGCAAUGAACCUUCAGAUGAGAAGUCUGAUGUGUAUAGCUAUGGGGUGAUCCUAUGGGAACUUGUCACUCAGAAGAUACCGUGGGAAAAUCUCAAUUCAAUGCAGGUCAUUGGUGCAGUAGGUUUCAUGAACCAAAGGUUGGAGAUUCCCAGUGAAACAGAUCCUUACUGGACAUCACUUAUACUCAGUUGUUGGGAAACCGACCCACAAAGCCGUCCGUCGUUCCAAGAACUUCUGGAGAAGCUCAGGGAACUGCAAAGGAAGUACGCGGUCCAGAAUCAGGUGCAGCGAAAUGCAUCUGCCGCUGCGAAGAACAGCAUCAUCGAGGAAUGA
rnacentral:rRNA from 1 species